rnacentral:misc_RNA from 1 species
GUGAAUCAUCGAAUUUUUGAACGCAAAUUGCACUCUCUGGUAUUCCGGAGAGUAUGCCUGUUUGAGGGUCAGUUUUUAUAUAAUUGGGUUUGGUUGCUGCAUUUCGUGGUGACGCACCGGUUUUGGGUCGUCUUGCUUUUGGUUAAGUGAGCUCUCAUUUUGCAUGAUUUUUUUCUAAUGUCUUUAUAUGAUUUUAUUUACGUUUCUGAUAAGGAUUCC